UAUACAUUAAAUAUAAUAUUUUAUAGUAAACAUAACGGUUGUAUAUAUUACAUACAGCAUAUACACUUAUUUAGGCUGGGCGCAGUGGCUCAUGCCUGUAAUCCCUGCAAUUUGGGUAGCCAAGGCGGGCGGAUCACUUGAUGUCAGGAGUUCCAGCCCAGCAUGGCCAACAUGGUGACACCCCAUCUCUACUAAAAAUACAAAAAUUAGCUGGAUGUGGUGGCAUGCACCUGUAGUUCCAGCUACUCAGGUGGCUGAGGCAGGAGAAUUGCUUGAACCUGGGAGGUGGAGGUUGCAGUGAGCCGAGAUUGCACCACUACACUCCAGCCUGGAUGACAGAGUGAUACUCCAUCUAAAAAAAAAAAAAGUAUAUACACUUAUUUUGUAUUAAAGCAUAACGUAUACAUAUAGUAGCUAUAGCUACAUAUUUUAUAUAUAUUUACUAUAUAGAGAAUGGGUAAUUAGCAGUAAAAAUAACUAUUAGAUGCUUUAUUAAUACCUCUUCUGUGGAGCAGAUAAUAGGAUUUGGGGGACUAGUAUUGAAAAGAGGAGACGGCAUACGUUUUCAGUAUCAGGCAGCAUCAGGUUCGUUAUUAAUGCAUUACCUAAGUAACACAUUCAACAAACAUAUACUGGCUACCAAUUAUGAAUAAGCACUGGAUCUGUAAGAUUCAUUUCCUCAGUUCAGAAAAUUAACCAUCCAGAGGGUAGGACAAAUAUUGCAACAUGUAACACUGAUGUUUCACUCUAAUAAUAUUAACACAUAGCAAAUGCCUCUGAGAUAUCCAGGUUGAACAUGCAGAGAAGAAUAUCACUCUAGAGCUUGGAGGGGGUUAGGCUAAAUGAUGAAGAUCUGGGUUUUAUUAACAUUUUGGAGGGAUGCUUAGCAGUGAGAAAGCUCAGGCAAAUCAAAAGGAAAAAAAAAAAAAACACCAUAAAAGUGAUAUGGGAAUGCUGGGAAGGGAAGAACGUGGUCCCUUUAAAUGAUACAGAAGUGGAGACAUGGAAGUGCUGAGUAGAGAAAGGCGUGCUCCAUGACUAGGGCUCCACCCCCACAGACCUAGAUGAGGACAAGCACUCGAGCUUUUAAGCCCAAAUGUUGCAUUUUCCAAGACCACCUUGGCCCACCACGCCUCCAUCCAGGGCCUAUAAAAACCCGAGACCCGGCCGGGCGCAGUGGCACACGCCUGUAAUCCCAGCACUUUGGGAUGCCAAGGUGGGCGGAUCAUGAGGUCAAGAGAUCAGACCAUCCUGGCCAAUAUGGUGAAACCCCGUCUCUACUAAAAAUACAAAAAUUAGUCGGGCAUGGUAGCGUGUGCCUGUAAUGCCAGCUACUUGGGAGGCUGAGGCAGGAGAAUUGCUUGAACCCGGGAGGCAGAGGUUGCAGUGAGCCAAGAUUGUGCCACUGCACUCCAGCCUGGUGACAGAGCGAGACUCCAUCUGAAAAAACAAACAAACAGACAACAACAACAACAACAAAACACUGAGACCCUAGCAGGCAGGUACACAGGCGGCCAGAUGUCAAGAGAAGCACAUCAGCGGAAGAAGAAAGACACAAGCCGUCGGACAUCGAGAGGACACCGAGGGAGCACACCUGCAGAAUAGCACACCAACAGGCACAGGCACAGCGGCAGGCCAUCAACUGGCAGGACGAGGCGGAGUUUGACCCGGUAGUCAUAGGAGAGCCGUGCCACCAGGCAGCCCAACUCCAGGAGAAAAUCAUCUCCCUUCUGGCUCCCCCGUUGGCUGAGAGAUACUUCCACUCAAUGAAAAUUUGCUCUCAUUCUCCAAGCCAACGUGUGAUCCGAUUCUUGCGGUACACCAAGGCAAGAACCUGGGAUACAGAAAGCCCUCUGUCCUUGCGACAAGGUAGAGGGUCUAAUCGAGCUGGAUAACACAAGCUGCCUAUAGGCAAACUAAAAGAGCACCCUGUAACACAUGCCCACUGGGGCUUCAGGAGCUGUCAACAUUCACCUCUAGACAUUGCCAAACCCCACAGCCUGCCUGCCUGUAUGCUCUCCUAGAGGUUUGAGCAGCGGGGCACUGAAGAAGUGAGCCAUACCCCUAUCCCAUGCCCUGUGAGGGGAACAAGGGAAACUUUCCUGCUUCAAAAGUGUAGGGGAAACACUUUAGGAGUAUAAGAAAAAUAUGGUUUCACCAGGAAAGAAAGAGAGGAAGUGUUCUGAAAAUAAUAGAGGAAAGGAGAAAAGAGUGGGUUCAUUGUAAUCUAGGGUAAAGAUGGUUUCACUGGUGAUUCAAGCAUCCAAUUCAGUGAACGAGUUUUAAUGCUCUGAUCACUUAAAUUUGAUUUGACCAAAAUCCCAAUAGUUAAAUUUAUAAAAACCCAGCUUAUUUUGGAGUGAUUUGAAUCUCAGUUCCACAAUUUUCAGGUCACGGGACCUUGAAUAAGUUAAUUAAAACCUUAAUCCCUUCAGUUUUCCCUCAUCUACAAAUUAAGAAUCUGUGUCUUUCUAUGUGGUAGGGGCAGGAGCAAGGAGGGAGAAAGAUUGAGAAAGACAGAGAGAGAGAAAUAAAUAGCUGGUGCUCAAUUAAAUUGAAAAAUCUGUCCUCAUGUGCUUAUGCACUAAUACAUUUUUUUUUCUAAUUCCAGAAUUCCCAGUGUUUUGAAUCUGACAUUUUCUAGAUACAGCCUGAGAAAUCCUAAUGAUAUAAGCUAGGAGUAUUCUCCGUAUGGGUCUGAAGAGUUUUGCAUUCCCAAGAGCAGUAGAUGGGAGAAGUUACAUGUGCAUACUUGCUCUUUCUUGAUCUUCUGCAUUCAAGACGUUUGCAGGCUUCUACCAUCCUGCAUUCUGUCUUUGACCUCAAAUGCUUCGUUUUGUCCUCUCUGAGCUGACAUGCACUAAUUACAUGAUUUUGGAAAUCAGCUCAUAUAUUGGGGCUGAAACAGGGAUUACUCCAAGUGCUAUCACUGAUGUUAAGGUAUUGAGUAAAACUCAGUUCUAUGCAGAAACUUUUAUUUUUUUUGAGAUGGAGUCUUGCUUUGUUGCCCAGUCUGGAGUACAGUGGUGUGGUCUCCGCUCACUGCAGCCUCCACCUCCUGGGUUCAACUAAUUCUCCUGCCUCAGCCUCCCAAGUAGCUGGGAUUACAGGCAUGUGCCACCAUGCCCUGCUAAGUUUUAUAUUUUUAGUAGAGACUGGGUUUCUACUAAAAAUAGUAGGCUGCUCUUGAACUUCUGACCUUAAGUGAUCUGCCUGCUUCAGUCACCCAAAGUGCUGAGAUUACAGACGUGAGCCACUGCACCCAGUCUGUAGAAAUAUUUUUAGUGCACUGAGUGGGUGCUGAGAACUUAGAAGUGGAAAAAAGUAUAAGCUCUCAAAGACCGAAGCAGAGCCUAAAUAUGACUCCUCUUGUCUCUCUCGGUACAGCUCUCUGAUUUUGUCCUUGGUUAUAUGCUGCUCCAAAAAAGGGAACAGGAGUAGCGGGUGCUACAAGUGGAAAAAAAACUGUGAAAUGUUAAAAAGGAGGAAUUUUGAUGACACAUAAAUCUUAUAUAGACUGUAUUUCAUUGUUCUUCAUAGAAGACAUCUAUGUCUGACCCAUAUGAUGGUUCGGGCAAACUGAUAUGAAAGAUAUAGAUAAAAUUUCCCAACGUUUUAUAGUGAAACUGGUCCUAAAUGUUCUGGAUCCCAUAGGGUUACGGUUGCUUACAUAAAAAAAAAUGUGUUGGCACAGUAAUAUAUAUGACCUGUUGUUGGCAUGACCCAUUGUGUGUGAUGAGGAGGGUGACAGAAGAGAGCAACCAGAGGAUGACAGAGCUUCUUUUGCUGAGGAUUAGAAUUUAAACAUAACCAAUAUGAUAGCUUCAUGUGUCCCCCAAAACAUAAAGAACAAGAUUUUGUGAAUCCCUGCUCUGUACAUUUCCCAGGGAAGGAAACAGAAUCAUUAUAUUUCAAUCUUGCAUUUGAUUUUUCUUCUGUAAUAUAGAUGAAUCCUGAGGGAUUUACUGAGUGUUUUUCUCCUCUUAUUUCCAGGACUGUCUGACAGGUGAAGGAGAGAGAGUCUGUCAAAGCAUAACAUUUGAGAGGUCAGAUUGAGACAGAACAGAAUUCAUUCUUCUGACAAAGAUAUAACAAGACAGAAUGGAUUUUUAGUUGUCCCUAGCAGAUAUCUCUAUAGUGCAACAUAUUAGACCCUUUUUAAAGAAGUGUGGAAGAAAAAAUAAGACAUAUGAGGAGAAAAGUUAUUCUCUAAGAAUAACCACCUGAUUAUAAAAUGUAUAAAGAGAGGAAACAUGAAGUUUGUCUUUAAAGAAAAUAUUAUUCAUACUGUCUUGUCUCUGCUGACAUAAAUAUAUACAAUUCAGCAGAAAGAAAUGUAAAGUAUACGGAUGAGAAAAACCAGAUAAAAGGAAAGUAAGGGUGGGUUGUUUUUAGUUGGGAGCUGGGGAGUAAACCAUAAACUUCAGAGCUUGAACUAGGUCCCAAAUUUUGCUCUAAGCUUUCUUGAGGCCAUUGAAAAACAAGUGUAGGACAUUUAUAAAAUCUACAGAAUUUAUAACAUGAAAACCAACUAAUUUUUCUAAAUAUACACAACUAUUUCUGAUACUGGUGCAAAAAUUUCUUUCAAGGUUGAAUCAAUAUUGAGGGGACAUAAGAAAUGUUAUGGACAGCAUCUUAAUCAUAAUACUGUACAGAAACACAUUUUGUCAGAAUAUCACAUGGCCUAUCUCACAGAGGCCAAUUGCAUAUCUGAGUCUGUGGCAGAUGCAGCCCUGGCUUUGAGUUUGGAGAGAAAAAGCCUCAGGUGUUUGUUUGGGAAAGGUGCUUUGAUCUUUUUGAGUCUCGGUUUCAUAUCUGUUAAAACAAGAGGAAGGAUAAUUAUGUCUCCUGGUAUAAAGAUGGUCUAGCUUGUUCCAAGGAAGUAGAAUGCAUAUGGUAAAGGUUAGUUUCCUCCCCCUAUAAAGUCCUCUAUAAAAUUUUGCUACACAAAAGCAUUGCAUUAACAUUGUUAUAUUUCAUUUAAAAUAUUUUUGUAACCAAUUUGCUUUAAUGAGGUUGUAAGAUUAUAUGUGAACUGUCUUUUGCAAGGAAUACCCCCUUGUACAUUUCCAGCACUCAAUCAUGCUGAACUCCAGGACUGAGGGACCUUCUGAGGCUGCCUUACUUUUGUUCUAUGCAAAGAGCUUGGCAACCAUGGAAACAGUCCUGACUGCUCAUUUUGCACAUUUCUUCCCUAGUGUGUUAAUCAGCCACAGCAAGAAGAUAACAUCAAAUACCCCAUGCCUGCUCACUUUAUAAAGGAAACUACUCUGGCUUCUUCCUACUACCUUUAUAGAGAUCUUAAAAACAGAAAGGUAACAAAACAUGUGAUAUGUUUUAUAUUGAUGCAACAUUUCUCAGACAGAAGCUACCUAAACUCAGAGAGGCUAUUUGGAGGCUGGCACAAAUUCCAGCUGAAGUUGUGGGUGUUUUGUUUAUUUGAUCUGAAAGUGCUAUUUGGUGUGAUUUCACAUAGUGGGAUUCAACAUUACUUUUCAUUCCCCGGCAGGUGAAUAAGCACUGGACUGUGUGUAAUAAUACAGAGAAAAGAAGGCAUUACUAUUGAACAGUAUGUAGGUACCACAUAGUAUUUUGACCAGUUGAAUAUAGUUUAUGGUGGGAAAUAGGAACCAAAGAGGGGGCUGCAAGUAGCUAAAGGAAGGAAAACAAAGUCCUUAAAAUAAAAGAAGGUAAAACCAAACAGUGAACAAUAGAUUGUCUUUCUUUGGUUUAACCAUAUUCUAUGUUUGUGAUAAUAAUUUACUUAUUUUCUUUAUAAGCAUAUGCAUUUUAAAUAUAUACAUGUUUUACAUAUAUAAAUGUAUAUGUAAAGAUGAUAUAAGUAGACAUUUCCAGAUUCACAAAGAUUUUAUAGUCUAGCCCCUAGAAUUCCCAUCUAAAAAACAAAUGGCCAUUUAUACAUAUAUAAAUGUGUAAAACAUAGAUACAUAGAUAGAUAGAUAAUGGAUUUUUUCUAAGGUUGAAACUUAUGUGAAUGGAAUUACACUGUGUGUAUUGUUUUGUGCCUAUAUCUUUUGUUUAACAUGUUUUUGGGAUUCAUUUGUUACAUAGUAGUUGUAGUUUGUUCCUGUUCAUUGUUGUGUAGUAUUCCAUUAAUGACUACAUUCCAAUUUAUUCAUUUUAAUGAUGACCAUUUCAAUAGCUUCCAAGUUGAAGCUCUAUGAACAAUGCUGCUCUGAGCAUUUUUGCUCACAUCUCCUUGUGCAAUAAUCACGAAUGUCUUGAGGGUACAUAUCUGGAGUUGAAUUGUUGGGUCAUAGAAAAUGAGCAUCUUCAAAUUAACUAGCUAAUGCCAAACUGUUUUUCAAGGUGCUUUACCAAUUUACACUCACUGCAGGAAUGCUUGAGGAUUCUUAUUGCUUCAUGUACUCACUAAUAGUAGAGUUGGGGAACUUGACAUCAUUUGGCAGGGGAGCAUAUUGGAUGCACUCAACUGGAGUCUCCAAAAAGCGGGUAAUAUAAAUAACUUUUAAAAGCUUCCAAGGAAUACCGAUUGCCAAUUUAUGUAGAGGAGGAAGGGUAUAUUUAGUUUUAAAGCAGGAUUCCCUACAAAUUAUGCUCUAUAUUCUUUGUUAUGAGAACAUUCCUAGUGGCCAUAAAUAUGUACACAGGCAUAAUGGGUGAGAUAAGUAGGUUAGAAAAUUAUCAGUAAUGUCUAAGUUGAUUUGUGCUGCAGUAACAGAAUACCACAAACUGGGCAAUUUAUAAAAAAGAGAAAUUUAUUUUCUCACAGUCCUGGAGGCAGGGAAGUUCAAUAUCAAGGUGCCUGCAGCUUUGGUUGUCUGGUCAGGGCUGCUCUCUGCUCCCAAGUCAGGCAGAA
rnacentral:lncRNA from 10 species